UACGUAGGGGGCAAGCGUUGUCCGGAAUUAUUGGGCGUAAAGAGCUCGUAGGCGGUCCCGCAAGUCGGAAGUGAAAUCUCAAGGCUUAACCUUGAAACUGCUUUCGAUACUGCAGGACUUGAGGCAGGUAGGGGAGAGUGGAAUUCCUGGUGUAGCGGUGAAAUGCGCAGAUAUCAGGAGGAACACCAGUGGCGAAGGCGGCUCUCUGGGCCUGUUCUGACGCUGAGGAGCGAAAGCGUGGGGAGCAAACAGG
rnacentral:misc_RNA from 1 species